UACAGGGGGGGCAAGCGUUGUUCGGAAUUACUGGGCGUAAAGGGUUCGUAGGUGGCCAACUAAGUCAGACGUGAAAUCCCUCAGCUUAACUGGGGAACUGCGUCUGAUACUGGAUGGCUUGAGUGUAGGAGAGGAAUGCGGAAUUCCAGGUGUAGCGGUGAAAUGCGUAGAUAUCAGGAGGAACACCUGCGGUGAAGACAGCUUUCUGGACCAUCACUGACGCUGAGACACGAAAGCGUGGGUAGCAAACAGG
rnacentral:rRNA from 1 species